rnacentral:rRNA from 1 species
UAAGCGGAGGAAAAGAAACUAACAAGGAUUCCCCUAGUAACUGCGAGUGAAGCGGGAAAAGCUCAAAUUUAAAAUCUGGUGGCCUUUGGCCAUCCGAGUUGUAAUUUAGAGAAGCGUCUUCCGCGCCGGACCGUGCACAAGUCUCCUGGAAUGGAGCGUCGUAGAGGGUGAGAAUCCCGUCUUUGGCAUGGAUGACCGGGGCUUUUGUGAUGCGCUCUCGAAGAGUCGAGUUGUUUGGGAAUGCAGCUCAAAAUGGGUGGUGAACUCCAUCUAAAGCUAAAUAUUGGCGAGAGACCGAUAGCGAACAAGUACCGUGAGGGAAAGAUGAAAAGCACUUUGGAAAGAGAGUGAAACAGUACGUGAAAUUGUUGAAAGGGAAACGCUUGAAGUCAGUCGCGUCGGCCGAGACUCAGCCUUGCCUCGGCUUGGUGUACUUCUUGACCGACGGGUCAGCAUCAAUUUUGCCCCUUGGAUAAUGGCGAGGGAAAUGUGACACCUUUAUAGGUGUGUUAUAGUCUCUCGUCGCAUGCAAGGGUCGGGAUUGAGGAACUCAGCACGCGCCUUCGGGCGUCGGGGCCUUGCCCACGAUACGUGUUUAGGAUGUUGGCGUAAUGGCUUUAAACGACCCGUCUUGAAACAC